AUUGAACGCUGGCGGCAUGCCUUACACAUGCAAGUCGAACGGCAGCAUAGAGGGCUUGCUCUCUGAUGGCGAGUGGCGAACGGGUGAGUAAAGCAUCGGAACGUACCGUGUAGUGGGGGAUAACGUAGCGAAAGUUACGCUAAUACCGCAUACGUACUGAGGUAGAAAGCAGGGGAUCGUAAGACCUUGCGCUAUACGAGCGGCCGAUGUCAGAUUAGCUAGUUGGUAGGGUAAAGGCCUACCAAGGCGACGAUCUGUAGCGGGUCUGAGAGGAUGAUCCGCCACACUGGGACUGAGACACGGCCCAGACUCCUACGGGAGGCAGCAGUGGGGAAUUUUGGACAAUGGGGGCAACCCUGAUCCAGCCAUGCCGCGUGAGUGAAGAAGGCCUUCGGGUUGUAAAGCUCUUUCGGCCGGGAAGAAAUCGCACAGGCUAAUACCCUGUGUGGAUGACGGUACCGGCAUAAGAAGCACCGGCUAACUACGUGCCAGCCGCCGCCGUAA
rnacentral:rRNA from 1 species